UUAUGCUUCCUGGUUCUUUGUUGAGCCCCCCUUGUGUACUCUACGCUGAAUGUAGCCAACUACACUAUUUUGCGGUAAUUCGAAGGCCAGUGUUUUCAACCACGUGCAGCUUCAUAAACUUCGCACAGACGACGAGAAGAACGCUGAGUUGCGCAGACUCUGAUCGCGCAUUUUCCAUGACCUACAGGCGGCCACGAGCGCAACAUUACGAAAUCUUACCAGAAUACGAAUUUGGUAUGAUGCCAAGAAUGGCCACAUUACAGUUCAACGUGCAUCAAUCACUGCUACUAUUGUUACAUAAUAACGUACAGUCAUUGAUUGAACGAGUACACACCCUGUGGUGACAUUCCUCAACCAAAUCAUGUUGCUACUAAAUCAUAUGACGGUCUUAAAUACUAGGUUACCGAAUUGUAAGAAUAUAGCAUGCAUAAAUCGGUCGCUAAUCAAUCUAAAACAAAAUAGGCUCAAUGUCAAUAAUCCUUUAUUUUCUUGGCUUCAAGAGACAUGACAAUACUUAGGUAGUGACAUUGACAACAUAUCUAAAUAAGUAACGCUAGAGAAGUUAAACGACCACGAAGGGACUCGAACCCUCAAUCUUCUGAUUCGAAGUCAGACGCCUUAUCCAUUAGGCCACGCGGUCUAUGAAAAAGAUCACAGUAACUUGCAAUUUAAGGCUAGCAUGAGCUAUAUUGAAGUGCUAAUAUAGUCUUAACGAAAACUCAAACAUGUCCAGUUCACAAUAUUAACACAAACUACAUGGGAGAAUGCAGUCUGCCAUUAAGCAACUGUUGAGUUAAAUAAAUAAAAAUGAAAACGGAGCUAUAAAGUGCAUUUAAAAAAACUAUUGUCCUCAUUGACAGAUAAAAUUCAUUAAAGUGUUCAAAGCAAAGCAAACACAGAAUGUUGAUCCCUUCCCAAUUUCUUUUGUCUGCCUGGUGACCACAAAUAAGUAAGCGUUGUAUUCAGCAUGUGACAAUAACAUUUGAUUUGAUUUGAACAAGCAUAGAAACCCAAUUCCACUGAUGCCUUCUGCAUCAAAAGGGGACUAUGGAGCCAGAUACCUGCCAAAAGGUUGAAUGUACACUACCAUUUGAAAGUUUGGGGUCACUUAGAAAUGUCCUUGUUUUUGAAAGAAAAGAACAUUUGUUGUCCAUUAAAAUAACAUCAAAUUGAUCAGAAAUACAGUGUAGAUAUUGGAAUAUGGAAUAUCUACAUAGGCGUACAGAGGCCCAUUAUCAGCAACUAUCGCUCCUGUGUUCCAAUGGCACGUUGUGUUAGCUAAUCCAAGUUUAUCAUCUUAAAAGGCUAAUUGAUCAUUAGAAAACCCUUUUGCAAUUAUGUUAGCACAGCUGAAAACUGUUGUUUUGAUUAAAGAAGCAAUAAAACUGGCCUUCUUUAGACUAGUUGAUUAUCUGGAGCAUCAGUAUUUGUGGCAGGCUCAAAAUGGCCAGACACAAAGACGUUCUUCUGAAACGCGUCAGUCUAUUCUUGUUCUGUAGAUUGCUUAGGGCUAACAAGAUAAAGGUAAACUGUGCAGGUAAGGUUUGAAUCUAAAACAAGUGUAACUUAUCUUGGUGUGUCCCUAGAUCAAUCCCGGAUUGCUGCCAAAAUUCUUUCUAAAAUGGCAAACAAAUGGACAUUUUUGAUAUCGUAACAAUAACGUAAACUCACUCACUUUUGAACAUCGCCUUGGUCCAUACAAUUUACCUUAUUUUAACGCCCCAAAACGUAAUACUUCCAGAUCAACUGUAAUGUCAAUACCAUUGUAAAGCACAAUUUCUCCCCUUUCCAACAGAAUCAAUUACAUGACCCCCACGCUGCCCGUUUCUCCAUGAUUCAAGAAGGCAAUGAGCCCCGUCGGGUCUUUUUAAAAAUGGCGGGUGGGGAAGCGAAACUAAUGCGUGAUAGUGAUAAGGAGAUAUGUGUGGGAAAUUUGCUUUUUUUCACUCGAUCUGUCCAACUUAUCACCAUAUUGCCUCUAAAAUGUAAAUAAAACACUAUAAAGAGUUUA